GACCGUCUAGAAGUAUCAAGAAGACAACGAUGAUGAUAAUGGGAGUGAGUAUACAGCUUUUGAUGGAUUUAACCGUAGCUGGGAUUUCCCUGAUGAUCGGAUUUGGGAUCUUCGCUUUCAUCGCUUCAAUUCUCUGCUCUGCGGCCUUCUUUCACAACGCCAAACCCUACUCUUCAUGAAUUUCUUCACCUACGGACUAGAGUGUGGAAUUGGAGCCUUUGAUCCAAUUGAAAAGAAACACAUGCCAUAUGAAGCAUCAUUUACAAUGGUCAAUUUGGAUGGUCAAAAAGUGCAAGCGGUUGUUUGGUUGUUUUUUCGUUAAGCUCAGUAUGGAUAAAGUUGUGCAUUUAGAUACCUGUAUGGAUUAGGUUAGACUGUUGUUCGGUCUUCGACCGGAUAAACCGUAUGAACAAUGUAAAUUACCAUUUCGCCCUUAUUUUUUACGUUUUUCAUUAAACCCAAUAACAACCCACAUUUUUUCUUCAUCAUUUCAUCAAACACAUUGCAUCAUAUCAUCAAAUUUAGAGGUAGAAUCAACACUAUCUCGAGAUGCAGAAGGAAAAAGACGAGGAGGAGUUACCAGGCGUGAGGGCAGGCGACGACAAGGGUUUUGGCGUUUAGAGGCGCAGGAAGAGAUUGCGGAUGUGAGAGGUUUGAGAUGGUUUUCUUACGGAGGGUGGUGUUUAAUGUAACGAGGGUAUUUAUGGAAUAAUCAUGGUACGCUAUAUUGGAUGUCAUAUGUGUGACAUGUUUCUCA